CUAGGUGGAGCUAGCUAGCUCAGCUAGCUCUCUGCAACUCUCACAUGGUUGCCCACUGAAGCUAAGCUGGGCUGCGCCCGGUCAGUACCUGGAUGGGAGACCACAUGGGAAAGCUAGGUUGCUGCCGGAA
ensembl:rRNA 5S_rRNA 5S ribosomal RNA